CACUCCACUCUUCUUUAUUUCCCAAGCCAAAGCACCAGAAGCAACGGCACACUCCCCACAACGCGUUCCAAGUCCAAGAAAACACACCCCACACACAGAAUGCCCAGAGCUCGGCCAUCUUCCCCGGCUCCGGCGACUUAGCCGUCGUCGCCGUGCAUCCCCGGACCAAUCUGUCGAGUACGUGGUGGGCGUCACCGUCCUCACCGCCGGCCACCCGAACCGCCGACGCCGCUCUGGCCGCCGUUCCUCACCACCGAAGCAACACCAAGCCGAUGUACUUCGUCAGCAAGCUCGCCUCGACCCCAUCGAGGUUCGACUGAAGCCGAUCGAGCCGACGCACUCUGCACCGCCGGAACAUCACCGCCCUCCCCCUUUUCCGGCCAUCCGCCGCCGCCGGCGAAUCCUCCCACUCCGUUGCAGUUCGCGCCUUGAGUCGACCCGGCGACGUCGACGCUGGAGUUUUGCCGCCGUGGGCCAACAACCACCGUCUCCGCCGCUCCUUGGACCUCGCUGCCUCCGUUUCUUUGCUUGAGGAAGAAUACGUCGAAGAAGAAGAGGGUGAGUUUGCUGACGACCAGGUUCAGGAGUUUGCAGACAAAGGCAAGUUUGCCCCUCCUUUGACCACAUUGAUCCUAUGUUUGAUUGGGCUAAAUGAUUCUAUUGCAAACAUGCAUACGUUAGCUAGUAUUAAUUUUGGUAAAAAAAUUAUAUAAAUGUGGGAUUGGUAGAUAUGACCUAAUUGCUGCAUAAUCCACCUUGAAAUAUUGAAUCCUUGCUGGUUGUAACCAUAGAGUGCUUUUGAAUACAAUUAUUGUGUUC